AUGGGCGAGCCUGACGGAGCAUGCCGCGUGAGUGAUGAAGGUUUUCGGAUCGUAAAGCUCUGUUGCCAGGGAAGAACGCUUGGGAGAGUAACUGCUCUCAAGGUGACGGUACCUGAGAAGAAAGCCCCGGCUAACUACGUGCCAGCAGCCGCGGUAAUACGUAGGGGGCAAGCGUUGUCCGGAAUUAUUGGGCGUAAAGCGCGCGCAGGCGGUCAUUUAAGUCUGGUGUUUAAUCCCGGGGCUCAACCCCGGAUCGCACUGGAAACUGGGUGACUUGAGUGCAGAAGAGGAGAGUGGAAUUCCACGUGUAGCGGUGAAAUGCGUAGAUAUGUGGAGGAACACCAGUGGCGAAGGCGACUCUCUGGGCUGUAACUGACGCUGAGGCGCGAAAGCGUGGGGAGCAAACAGGAUUAGAUACCCUGGUAGUCCACGCCGUAAACGAUGAGUGCUAGGUGUUAGGGGUUUCGAUACCCUUGGUGCCGAAGUUAACACAUUAAGCACUCCGCCUGGGGAGUACGGUCGCAAGACUGAAACUCAAAGGAAUUGACGGA
rnacentral:rRNA from 1 species